UACGUAGGGCGCAAGCGUUAUCCGGAAUUAUUGGGCGUAAAGAGCUCGUAGGCGGUUUGUCGCGUCUGCCGUGAAAGUCCGGGGCUCAACUCCGGAUCUGCGGUGGGUACGGGCAGACUAGAGUGAUGUAGGGGAGACUGGAAUUCCUGGUGUAGCGGUGAAAUGCGCAGAGUAUCAGGAGGAACACCGAUGGCGAAGGCAGGUCUCUGGGCCGAUACUGACGCUGAGGAGCGAAAGCGUGGGGAGCGAACAGG
rnacentral:rRNA from 1 species